rnacentral:rRNA from 1 species
UACGGGGGGGGCAAGCGUUGUUCGGAAUUACUGGGCGUAAAGCGUGCGCAGGCGGUUGUGCAAGACAGAUGUGAAAUCCCCGGGCUUAACCUGGGAACUGCAUUUGUGACUGCACGGCUAGAGUGCGGCAGAGGGGGAUGGAAUUCCGCGUGUAGCAGUGAAAUGCGUAGAUAUGCGGAGGAACACCGAUGGCGAAGGCAAUCCCCUGGGCCUGCACUGACGCUCAUGCACGAAAGCGUGGGGAGCAAACAGG